UACGAAGGGCCCAAGCGUUAUUCGGAUUUACUGGGCUUAAAGGGUGCGUAGGCGGGUUGUUAAGUCAGAUGUGAAAUCCCCGGGCUCAACCUGGGAAUGGCAUUUGAGACUGGCAGGCUAGAGUGUGUCAGAGGGGGGUAGAAUUCCACGUGUAGCAGUGAAAUGCGUAGAGAUGUGGAGGAACACCGAUGGCGAAGGCAGCCCCCUGGGAUAACACUGACGCUCAUGCACGAAAGCGUGGGGAGCAAACAGG
rnacentral:rRNA from 1 species